rnacentral:rRNA from 1 species
GACGAACGCUGGCGGCACGCCUAACACAUGCAAGUCGAGCGGGAUCUUGUGGAAUGCGUCUUCGGACAAGUGAAGCAAGUGAGAGCGGCGGACGGGCGAGUAACGCGUGAGUAACCUGCCCUAUACAGGGGGAUAGCCAUUGGAAACGGUGAUUAAUACCCCAUAAGACCACGCCAUCGCAUGAUGAAGUGGUAAAAACUGAGGUGGUAUAGGAUGGACUCGCGUCUGAUUAGCUAGUUGGUGAGGUAACGGCUCACCAAGGCGACGAUCAGUAACCGGCCUGGAAGGGUGAACGGUCACACUGGAACUGAGACACGAUCCAGACUCCUACGGGAGGCAGCAGUGGGGAAUAUUGCACAAUGGGGGAAACCCUGAUGCAGCGAUGCCGCGUGAACGAAGAAGGCUUUCGAGUCGUAAAGUUCUGUUCUUAGGGAAGAAAAUGACGGUACCUAAGGAGAAAGCACCGGCUAAAUACGUGCCAGCCGCCGCCGUAA